rnacentral:rRNA from 1 species
CCUACGGGGUGCAGCAGUAGGGAAUCUUUCACAAUGGGCGAAAGCCUGAUGGAGCAACGCCGCGUGCAGGAUGAAGGCCUUCGGGUUGUAAACUGCUUUUAUAAGCGAGAAAUAUGAUGGUAACUUAUGAAUAAGGAUCGGCUAACUACGUGCCAGCAGCCGCGGUCAUACGUAGGAUCCGAGCAUUAUCCGGAGUGACUGGGUGUAAAGAGUUGCGUAGGUGGCAUAAUAAGUAGCUAGUGAAAUCUGGUGGCUCAACCAUUCAGACUAUUAGCUAAACUGUUAAGCUCGAGACCGUUAGGGGUAACUGGAAUUUCUAGUGUAGGAGUGAAAUCCGUAGAUAUUAGAAGGAACACCAAUAGCGUAGGCAGGUUGCUGGGACGGGUCUGACACUAAGGCACGAAAGCGUAGGGAGCAAACGGGAUUAGAUACCCGAGUAGUC